CUUUCCUGUUAAAUUCUUAAAGUGAAUCAGAUUAAGCUUCAUUAGCUGAGUUUUUGUAACAAUACACACAAUAUGCAACAAAAAUGAGGUUUUCCAAUGACAGUAAAUGUAUGUAUUGUGAAGGUGUUUGAAUUCCUUCUUAUAAUGGAUGGCAGAAUUAGUUAACAUUUAUGAAAAUAAAUAAUAAUAAAAACUGAAAUAAUAAGUUUCUACCCACAAAGCAAAAUGUUAGCCAUGAUACAUUCCACAAAUGUAAAAUGCUUAUAAAAUGGAUUUCUGAUCAUGUCAUUGACCUUAUGGAAUAAAUUUGCAUUUGUUACCAGGCAACCUGAGAGAACUGCAAGAAGCAUUGGCAUUUACCAGCAAAAUAUUCCACCGAUGGCAUGUCCCUUAAAUGCUAAUUUGAGGUUAAAAAAAGAUAACACCUAUUGCACCACUUAUGCCUUUGGGCACCUCAACCCACUGAACCCAGAGAAUGCAAAAUGGACUACAUAAAACAAUGAACAAAGUGUACAUGAUGUCCUGGCUGCCAGCAGAGAAACCAACUCAAACUCAGAGUCCCUGAAGGAUGGUGCACAAAGAAGAAUGAGGUGGAAGACUGUGUGGGAGUGCAGCUGCGUGUGACUGUUCUGUGUUUCCCUUAGGACUCUGCUGGCUCAGAUAUUACUGCAGACUCUGCAGGUAGAAGUAAAAAAAAAAAAAGGAGCAGCCCAAGCUGGGCUGUAUACGGCCCUAGCAUUUCCACUGUCAACCUGGCUUCAUUAGAUAAACAUACAGUCUAUGUACAUAUCUGGCAUCAUCUCCACCAACACAUCGGUCAAGAUGUGAACAAACAGUGUGGUUUCUGUAAUAUACACUGACC